CCCCCCCAUAGAGUUUGAUUUUGGCUCAGGAUGAACGCUGGCGGCGUGCCUAAUACAUGCAAGUCGAACGCUUUGUGGUUCAACUGAUUUGAAGAGCUUGCUCAGAUAUGACGAUGGACAUUGCAAAGAGUGGCGAACGGGUGAGUAACACGUGGGAAACCUACCUCUUAGCAGGGGAUAACAUUUGGAAACAGAUGCUAAUACCGUAUAACAAUAGCAACCGCAUGGUUGCUACUUAAAAGAUGGUUCUGCUAUCACUAAGAGAUGGUCCCGCGGUGCAUUAGUUAGUUGGUGAGGUAAUGGCUCACCAAGACGAUGAUGCAUAGCCGAGUUGAGAGACUGAUCGGCCACAAUGGGACUGAGACACGGCCCAUACUCCUACGGGAGGCAGCAGUAGGGAAUCUUCCACAAUGGGCGAAAGCCUGAUGGAGCAACGCCGCGUGUGUGAUGAAGGGUUUCGGCUCGUAAAACACUGUUGUAAGAGAAGAAUGACAUUGAGAGUAACUGUUCAAUGUGUGACGGUAUCUUACCAGAAAGGAACGGCUAAAUACGUGCCAGCAGCCGCGGUAAUACGUAUGUUCCAAGCGUUAUCCGGAUUUAUUGGGCGUAAAGCGAGCGCAGACGGUUAUUUAAGUCUGAAGUGAAAGCCCUCAGCUCAACUGAGGAAUUGCUUUGGAAACUGGAUGACUUGAGUGCAGUAGAGGAAAGUGGAACUCCAUGUGUAGCGGUGAAAUGCGUAGAUAUAUGGAAGAACACCAGUGGCGAAGGCGGCUUUCUGGACUGUAACUGACGUUGAGGCUCGAAAGUGUGGGUAGCAAACAGGAUUAGAUACCCUGGUAGUCCACACCGUAAACGAUGAGUGCUAGGUGUUUGAGGGUUUCCGCCCUUAAGUGCCGCAGCUAACGCAUAAGCACUCCGCCUGG
rnacentral:rRNA from 1 species